rnacentral:sRNA from 1 species
AAAACAUUAAAUUUGUAACCAAAAUUUCCUAAGAAUUAAGCUAAGCAACUAUCAAUAAUGGUGCUCUUAGUCGGUCCAAUUUGUUUGAGAAGACUUGUUUUUAUUGAUAAUCACCACUU